UGACAGUUGAAAAGAGAACUUUAAUAGACCAUUUGACACAUUUCAGGAAGGAAUUUGGAUUUCCUAACAAGUUGAGGGGAUUGAUUGUAAGGCACCCAGAGUUGUUUUAUGUGAGUUUGAAAGGCCNNNNNNNCUUGACUGAAGGCUACGAUGACAAGGGUGGGCUUUUGAAGAAAGAUGAAACUUCAGCGCUAAAGGAUCAGUUGAUGGAGUUGGUCAGGGAGUCGAAGAAGAUGAGAAG
rnacentral:misc_RNA from 1 species